UACGAAGGGGGCUAGCGUUGUUCGGAAUUACUGGGCGUAAAGCGCACGUAGGCGGGUCGUUAAGUCAGGGGUGAAAUCCCGGAGCUCAACUCCGGAACUGCCUUUGAUACUGGCGAUCUAGAGGUCGAGAGAGGUGAGUGGAAUUCCGAGUGUAGAGGUGAAAUUCGUAGAUAUUCGGAAGAACACCAGUGGCGAAGGCGGCUCACUGGCUCGAUACUGACGCUGAGGUGCGAAAGCGUGGGGAGCAAACAGG
rnacentral:rRNA from 2 species